UUUUCGUAAACCCCGAGACGGCGACGUCGUGUCACGUUCUCGCUUUCGCUGUGCCGUCGGAGUUCACGAAGUGAAAGGAUCCAACGACUCGCAGUCGACUGGGACUCCUCGGUCCGUGUUUCAAGACGGGUCGGGUAGGUUGCCGAUGCUCGUCGCUGACCGGCAGCAGCGGGCGGCUUUU